CACAAUACUGGUGGCCUCACAGAGAA
rnacentral:piRNA from 1 species